rnacentral:rRNA from 1 species
UGUGCCAGCAGCCGCGGUAAUACGUAGGGGGCAAGCGUUGUCCGGAUUCAUUGGGCGUAAAGAGCGUGUAGGCGGCCAGGUAGGUCGGUUGUGAAAACUGGAGGCUCAACCUUCAGACGUCGACCGAAACCAUCUGGCUAGAGUCCGGGAGAGGAGAGUGGAAUUCCUGGUGUAGCGGUGAAAUGCGCAGAUAUCAGGAAGAACACCCGUGGCGAAAGCGGCUCUCUGGAACGGUACUGACGCUGAGACGCGAAAGCGUGGGGAGCGAACAGGAUUAGAUACCCUGGUAGUCCACGCCGUAAACGAUGGGCGCUAGGUGUGGGAGGUGUCGACUCCUCCCGUGCCGCAGCUAACGCAUUAAGUGCCCCGCCUGGGGAGUACGGCCGCAAGGCUAAAACUCAAAGGAAUUGACGGG